UACUUUACAAGAAAUCGAUUUAUGUAAAAAAAUAAGGUAGACAUAUUAUUAAUAUUAUUAUUCUCUUUUAUAAUAAUAAUUAGUAUUAAUAGCAUUAUAUAAUAAUAAUAUGACUACUUCAUCCGUGAACAUAAAUCGAUUCCUUCGGUCAUUUUACCUAUAAAUUGUAUUCCUCUAUUAGUCAUCGAAAAUGCGCUACAUCAUUUUAAAAAUCCGUCUUAUGCCAAUCUUGUCGAAUCAAAUCAAAUCGUAUCACUUUAUAGAAGAGAUGAGAGAUACUGAAUACUUUAAUAACAGACAGAGAAUAAUGAUAAUAUGAAAUUUCAAGACUCGUCUUCCUUAAAUGAUUCCACAGAGAUACGAUGAUCGUUUAAAAAAUGUUAUUAAUACUCAUAUUGCAAGAGUUACAGAAAUUUAAGUUAAACCCUGUUAUUACGCAUAACUCAUGAAGCGUCUGCAGUUAGCAAAGUGUUAACGUACUGGCCAAACGAAUCAAUCGUGGAAAUCAUUUUAAUUUAAUUUUAGUGACCAUUUAUAGAUAGGUACAAGUGCAUGUAUAUUUUAUACUUCGUGACCAUCUUUGCAUCACGCAAUUGCGGCAGGGUUGUUGUCAAGGGCAUCGUGUCCAAAGGAUCUGCGUCGGUCACGCUAGAUUCACGAUUAGUGAUGAUCUUGUAGUCGGAAGGAAACAACACUCCGCAGCUCAUUCACUGUUGUCUCCUAUAAUUUCGCGUGUUUACGUGGUUCUUGCCGUAAACUUUGGCACGUGGACAGGACGAAGUGCGCAGUGGCGAAGGUUCAUGACUGGACGAAGCCUCGACCAGGGUGAAGAGAAUCGCCUGUGGCGUAAGUGGCCAGGGGAUGCGACGUUCAGUAAGCAAGAAGCCUUCACAUCUGAAUCUCUGGCGGGAAUUUUUGACUAUUGAGCCUACGGCCAAGCACCUAGCGCAAAAUCCUUUUCACAAAUCGACUGGUAUUAUGAACGUUUCUACCGUGUUUCCGGAGGGACUUACUGAAGCACCACGUCACACAUCAGCGAGCGUGAAGGAUGACGACGAGGCACAGGAUAGAUACAAUCGACGAAUUAACAGCGUUGCGGUUGUCGAGCACUGCUUGCUCUGUCUACGAGGAUUUCUCGAGGACCUUGAAAAUAUAAUUCGAAAAUACUGGAAUGAUAUCGUCAACAUUAUUAUGCGUGCAGUGAAUUGGCCAUAAAGGAACCAAAAAUUCCAUCGAGCACGCGUCUUUCUGCGCGGAAACAAUGAAUGCUUAUGCUGCGGAUGUUUAUGCAUUUAUGGCAAGUGAGAAUAUGGGAAGACGUACGAGAAUGUGCUCAAAUGCAAAAGUAUAUAAAAUAUUAUACCGUUUAAAAGGUGAGACACUUGAUAAUAUCGUUCCAAUUCUUUUUCUGUACCUUUGAAAACAUGAAUUUGCAUAAACACCCGCAGUGUAGCGAUGAGAGUACCUGCAAGGAAGUCGGUUCGUUCACCCAUUUUUUCCUGAAGCGUUUAAUUUAAACGAGCCCGUAUAGUAGUUAAAAAUAUAAAGAAUAAAAUAUUUUUCAAAGAAUUAGGUGAGAUAGCUGAGACUAUUGGAAUGAACCAUUGUACUAUUUUGAAACAUCAACACGAAGCUUUGGAGCGGUAGUGAAUAUCCAAAUAAAUUUAAAUAAUAUUUCCUACGAGUUAAAUUUCACAUUACGGGAGCUGUAUUAAUAGCCACACAUUUAUUAAACGACGUGUAACAUAAAUGAAAGUACGAAACGAACUCUAAACACAAACUGCCUUAGGGCAAUCGUUAAUGCUUUUUGCACAAUAAAAUAUGCGAAAGGAAGUUGAGUAUCGAUGAAUUAAAAAGUGAGUAGGAAAUUAAUAGACGAAGGUGCCAGCCAUACGUUCUAUAAUGAACCGAAGGUAUUCAUUCAUAAUGGAUAGAGUAAAAAAAAAAAAAAACAGACUGUACCGCAAACUUGUGUAACCUACAAGCAUGAUGAAGUUCAUCUGCAUGCGUCUAACUCGGAAUGCAUGCCAAUUGAGACUUGAAAUGCAUAGGAAUGUGGACACAGCAUGGCCAAUAAUAAUGAAGUAGAUGAAAAGUAAUAUUAUUAUUUUGUAGCGAGGUUCUCGAGAUAUUUUAAAAAUAAGUAUGCAACGGCAAAUAAAUGAAUAUAAUAUAUUUUGUCGAUUAUAAAAGUAAAUUCUCGAUAUUCAUUUUGAAUAGAUAAAGUAUGGCCCUCUCUUCUGUAUAACAGUAUUUGAAAAAAUUCCUUGAGAAUAAUAAAAUUGUAGUAGUGUGAAAAUUAAAGGAAUAAAAACUAAGUAAAAGAAUAAACAUGUGUAUCAUAACGAAAAUGUAAAAAUAAAAUUCAUUGUGAACAAACCUCAUUACCAUCUAGCUUAUCAUAUUUAUGACAAUAUCAAAACGACAUUUAUUACAGAAGUGUAGAAAA